GCCUCUGUGGAUCAGCGGUAGAUCGCCUCGAAAUUGUGAGAAAAAACCAGUAUUCUAUCUCGAGAAGACCUGGGUUCGAAUCCCAGCGGAGGCA